ACCUCGAUAGCCCAGUGGUUAAAGAGCGCUAAUUUUGCGCUGAUUCGUUAAACCAGAGACUUUGGGUUCGAUUUCCAGUUGGGGUG